AGUUGCGUCAUCAUUGAUGGUGUGAUAAUAAAAGCGAGGCAUAAAUCGGGUCUAUUCGUUGAUCCGAGCCAGGUGUAUGCUGAGAGCCCGGAUGAAGAUCAAGCGUCAAGCUCAAUGAGGAACCGAACACAUGUUUGAUAAAGCUUCCGCAACGUUGUUGUGUCGUUAUUCUAAACGGCGAAUUAAAUCACAUUAUGUAUAUCGCUUAAAUUAUAAAAGUUUUUAACAAGCCCGUAUUUUCAUUAUAAUUGUGAUUGUAAUU